CACAUGGCUGCUGGGACUCAAGCGCUCGUGUUGUCUGCGCCUCUGUGGGACUCGGGAGACGGGAGGCAGGGGAGGCCCCCGCAGGCCGGCCAGGGGCUGGGGGCUGGGGGCCGGCCGCCGGGCACCUGGGGCCCUCUCCCUCCCCUGGCACCACCCUCACCCCGCAGCUCCCCCCCAUACACACCCUCGCUGGAAAGUUCGCCCUGCCCGGGCUGGGCUCCCAGGCAGCCUGGCACCGUGCCAGGCUCGCCGCCGAGCUCGGGCAGCAGGGUGGGGCAAACGCAGAGCACGGAGGACGGGGCCGGGCGACCUGGGCACCAGCACGACCCGAGGCCAGGAGCCAGGGGCCCAGAAGAUUGAGCUUCUAGAGCCUCAGAGAUGGAAUUUGCUGUUUUGCCACGAUUUGACGUUAAAUUAUUGACCCAUGGGAAGGAGGGUAACUUCCCCUGAAAAGCUAUGAAAUGAAGUUGUCAGUCUCUCUUUUUAAUUAAAAAAAAAAAAUCUCUGCAAAGAUUCUGCAUUCUGGCUUUUCUUUGCUAAAUUAAAGUGGCAUGUGUUUUUAUUUUAGAAGGCAGAGAUGUUUUGCUGUGCCCAGUGUGAGGAAGCGAAGGAAAAGAAAGAUCUUUUGAAAAUGUGUACAUCUACUUGCAGCUUAAAAAUUCCAAGUGCCAGACAUUUUUCUUAGAGGAAAUAAAUGUCUUCAAUUUAUUAAUCUUA